GUGGUGUUGUGAGGUUUGCUGUAGUAUUAGCCAUGGUAAACCUUGGUGUUGUGAGGUUUGCUGUAGUAUUGGCCAUGGUAAGCCUUGGUGUUGUGAGGUUUGCUGUAGUAUUAGCCAUGGUAAGCCUUAGUGUUGUGAGGUUUGCCGUUGUGUUUACCGCAGUAGGACUUGGUGUUGUGAGGUUUGCUGUAGUAUUAGCCAUGGUAAGCCUUGGUGUUGUGAGGUUUGCCGUUGUGUUUACCGCAGUAGGACUUGGUGUUGUGAGGUUUGCUGUAGUAUUGGCCAUGGUAAGCCUUGGUGUUGUGAGGUUUGCCGUUGUGUUUACCGCAGUAGGACUUGGUGUUGUGAGG